GACGGAGGGUGCUAGCGUUGUUCGGAAUCACUGGGCGUAAAGGGCGCGUAGGCGGCCUGGAAAGUCAGAUGUGAAAGCCCGGGGCUCAACCCCGGAAUUGCAUUUGAGACUCCCUGGCUGGAGUUCGAGAGAGGUGAGUGGAAUACCCAGUGUAGAGGUGAAAUUCGUAGAGAUUGGGAAGAACACCAGUGGCGAAGGCGGCUCUCUGGCCCGUAUCUGACGCUGAGGUGCGAAAGCGUGGGGAGCAAACAGG
rnacentral:rRNA from 1 species